UACGAAGGGGGCUAGCGUUGCUCGGAAUUACUGGGCGUAAAGCGCACGUAGGCGGGUUCUUAAGUCGGUGGUGAAAUCCUGGAGCUCAACUCCAGAACUGCCUUCGAAACUGGGAAUCUUGAGUCCGGGAGGGGUGAGUGGAACUGCGAGUGUAGAGGUGAAAUUCGUAGAUAUUCGCAAGAACACCAGUGGCGAAGGCGGCUCACUGGCCCGGUACUGACGCUGAGGUGCGAAAGCGUGGGGAGCAAACAGG
rnacentral:rRNA from 1 species